rnacentral:lncRNA from 1 species
ACUGUUGCAUAUUUCUAUAGCGGAUUGUGCUUUCUGCACCGGUUGCCUACCAUUAAAUUUUCGCAUGGUAGUUCAUGGCAAUGCUGGAAACUCCUUACUUUGAAAUGAUAUAAAAUCAGUGUUAAAGCAAUCAGCACCUAAGCAUCUGACGCCAGGUGAGAAAGUACGCGUGCCUGGUACCGAAACACACUAUCUGGCCCGGCAACGGCUACUUCUCCAAUCGAAGCCUAACCCAGAACCAAAACCCAAAUAGCAUUAUGCCAAUGUCCUUGUGGUUUGUUCAAGUGGUGAAAUUUGAGCAGCGAAGCUUGGGCGAAAAAAUCCAGCGGCAUCCUUUCAGCUUCGUGUCCUGUCGAGCUCUUUUCUUGGAGGCCUCAGCAUUGUCCUGGACGCUCAUUCCGAAGAAUGGGUCCUGUUAUGCCUCGUCUCCCAAUGUUCUGCUGAGCUUGCCCCGGCAGGCAGAUUGGCGUUCGGCCAUGUGGACAAGGAGGGCAAGACCUAUGUGCAUACCUGGGCCGAACUAAAUCGCACGUCCGGUUGGCGUAUCCCAUGAGGCUAAGUCCCGACGCCAAUUUAUUGGCCGGCUACCAGCGGUGCAAAUGGGGCGCUAAGGUUUCAGGCCAAUGAGGAUAACAUAUCACCAGU